CCAGCAGCAGCCUGAGGUUGGUGGUGAUAUGGAAAACUAAUUUGAUGCUUAACCUGACUUUCCUUCCACUGUUAACACUCCAGUCUGAGAUUUUUGCUGUGAGGUUUCAUAUGGUUUUGAGACAACCGAGUCCCAUUUUCUGCUGGAUUGUUUUGUCUCUGUUUCUAUGUUCAACUAUCCACUCUGAAUUUCAUUGCAAGGGAGAAAUAUCCUGUCUCUCCUUGUGGAUAUUAACAUAUUUUUAUCUUUGACAAAGAUACUAACAUAACUUUUUUUCCUUGUGGCUGAAACUAUGUAAGCUGAUUUGAUACGCAGUUGGUAGCUCGGUACAAGUGGACGCUGACAAGAUAAAGAGCUUACUUUUUUGGGUGGCUCAUGAUGUUAAUAUCUCGCGCGCCCCUGUCAUAAUCUUCAGAGUUUUUAGCGGCUCACAAUGGGUUCAGAUAUUAUUCCGAAGUCUAUUUAUCGUCAUCUUUUCACCCGUCUAGUCUUAAUAAGGUACAUACAUCAUUGGCGCUUCACCGUAAAGCAUUUGUUGAAAUUUCCUCCCAGAUACUUUCAGCAGAUUUAACACUGAGAUUAAGACAUGUCGAUCGUAAAGUAGAAAAUGACAUACUUGAAAAUAGACUACAUGUUUUCUGAUGUUGGAUUCUAUAUAUGCUUGCAAACAUUCCCCUGUAUGAGUAUACCAAAGAAUCUCCUAUUUUAGACCUAUUAGUGAAGAGUCUUCAUUCUCACGUGCUGCAGAUAUAAUCUACUUAUGCGCACAAAUGAUUGGGAGUAUUUUUGAAUUUGGGUUUGCUCUUCAGUGAAAAUAAACAAAUACUCUAAUGAAUUCUUUGUUAUGUCACUGUCAUAUUAAUAGACUCGGUUUUUGUUUUUAUUAGUGCAAGUAUAUCUUUGGUACAUUCUUGAGUGUUAUAUAAAGCUAGGCUAGUUAUUUUCUGUAGGGAAUAUAAAGGUACUUGAUCGCUUCGCACACCACAGACUAUCAACAUCCUAUGCUCUUUUUGAACACCAUUGCAGUCACAAGGCCCGGAUUUUUGGAAUCAAUGCCGGCAACUAAGCGGCAGCGUCCCAGGGUAGACAACACUCAAUAUCAUGUUUCAUUUGAAUGGCUGGAUGGUGUUGCACUUAGUUCUGAAUUCGCUCGUCAGAGUACCAGUGUGUAGUGUUUGAGAGCUGUUAGUAGAUGACAUGUGAUCAUUGUACAGAGAAACGCUAAAAGGCCUGGAAAAUGAUGCUGUUUUGCAACUUUGCCCGACACACGUUCUGUAGACUCUUUAUGCUGCUAUAUGUUCUGUUGCAAGUAUUUGUCACUUGAUACAUGUACAGUUUCUCCAUGCCUGAAGUUUCCCUUUCUUAAUCCCGGCAAUUUGAGGUAAGAUCAGAAGGAACUGCG
rnacentral:lncRNA from 1 species